AGAGAGUUCAGACCGUUAUCCGAGUACGCGAGGCGUAGGGCAGCCCGGCCCCACUUAGCACGAGUUUCUGAAACAUCUCGAAAAGGGGGAACUGAGCGGGAAAUGAUGCACCCUCAAAGAGGAACAAAUCUGACAGUAAUGAAGCUGUCCUGAUGAGAACAGUCGAAGGCAGAAAGAGGCAUGAAACACACUGGCGGGGGGACGACGACGACGACGACAACAACUUAAUAGCGCUCUGAGGCAGGAAUGUGAACACACCCCAAGUUAAAAAGCACUGGUUCCAAUACAGAUUCUUGGGGAACCUCUCUUAGUACAUGACUCUCUGGACCAGCCACAAUAUCUCAACCUGAUUUAUCUCACAGCAUUUUUGUGAGGAUAAAAUGGAGAAGAGGGGGCCAUGUAUGCCACACGGAGUUCCUAGGAAGAAAGUUGAAGAAAGAUUCGGAGAAUAUCAUAGGCAUCAGUGCAGUUCUUACUCCAUUGGCUGAUUUAUAAGCGUUGCUGUGCAAUGGAUUCUGGCGAUCAGGAGCCCUUCACCGUCACAACGAGCAUGCACAAAUACGUGGAACAAUGUUUGCUGGGACUGGGACAGAUUCGUCUGCAAGUCCAACAUGGUGGCUAUGGGGGACGGCUAUGGUUCAGUGGCAGAAUGUGUAUGUUGCAUGCAGAACGUCCUGGGUUCAAUCCCCAGCUGGGAGAAAACAGUGUCUGAAAUUUUGGGAAGCCGCUGUCAAUCAAGGUAGACAGUACUGAGACAGAUGGGCCAAUGGUCUGACUCAGUAAAAGGCAGCUCCCUGUGUUCCUAUGACCGAUGUUUUUCAUAUGUACAUUCAAUGGUUUUACUUAUAAUUACAGUAUUAUAUAUUUAUUUAUACCCCACCUUUUUCCUGAUGGGACUCAAGGCUGCUUACAUGUAAAAAGGAAACACUAAAGAAAACAAUUAAACAUUGUUAGAAGUAAAACUACACACAUAUGUAAAAUCUAUUAAAACCACACAAAUAAUUACAAUAAAAACAGCAUGGCACCAGCCCUCUCAUUAAAAGUUCCCAAAAGCCUUUUGGAACAGAAGCUUUCACCUGCUGGCGGAAGGACAACAAGGAGGGAGCCAGUCUUACAUCUCUAGGGAAGGAGUUCCAAAGUCUGGGAACAGCCACCGAGAAGACCCUCUCCCUACCAAGUGUGCCUGGGAAGGUGGCAGGACUCAGAGAAGGGCCUCUCCCAAAGAUGUCAACAUCCAGGCAGGUUUGUAUGAGGGAAUACGGUCUUUCAGAUAGCUUGGACUAAAGCUGCGUAGGGCUUUAAAAGUCAUAACCAGUACUUUGAACUGUGCAAAG